rnacentral:snRNA from 1 species
AGCUUUGUGCAGUGGCAGUAUUGUAGUCAAUUAGGUUUAUCCAAGGAGCAAUUAUUGCUAAUUGAAACUUGA